UUUUAUUUUUUCCAACGAGGUAAUAGAAAAAACUAAGCUAGUCUAGAACAGUAAAACCCUUGACCUCCUAUUACCCCAAACCUUAGUCUAAAAAUUCCCCCAAAAUCAGAAAAAACUCCCACGAAAAUUUCCCCCAAAAACCCAGAAAAUUUCCCCACGAAAAUUCCCCAGAAAACCCACGAAAAUUCCCCCAAAACAAAGAUCCGAUCUGCGCGGCCGAGAUGGAUUGAAGCCGCCGGAGUUUCGCCACCUUGAAGAACGCUGGAGUUCCGCCGGAGGUCAAGCAAUUACCAGAGUUCAAAAAUAAAUCGUGAAUGGAUGUAUGAUGCAAUCCGAACUUCACCUGCAUACUUGGAAGGAGUUAAGGGGUUUUGUAAUAUUGCUAUGCAACAUCAGUGGAGUGGUGGAGUGUUGUUGUUGAACAAAGACUUACUAGGGCAAGACCUAUUUUCUUCCCUUGCAAGAACGUGAAGAGGUGGGAUGACAUUAAGAAAAUAGAGGAACAUUUGAUUAUUCAUGGGUUCAUGUCCUCAAAGGAUUUCGGUAGCUGAAAUCGAACAUAAUUAUCUCCAAGUUCAUGGGUAUGUUAAAAAGGCGUUUAUGUCCGAACUUGAUGCACCAUAUCUUGAAAGUAAUCAUUGGGUGCUUUUGGUAAUAAACUUACCAUUGGGCCUUGUGUUCGAGUUUGAUCCUGCCACUUGUCCUGAAAAGACCCCAAGAAAAUUGAGAUUGGCUGAUAUACUAAUGAAGCAUACAAGGUGUAUUUGACUAGAUUGGAGGGUAAUGUUUUGAAAAGUAGAAGGAAAAAUUUGCUAUUUAAGCAAAUGGAGUGUGCUCAACAAAAAGGAGGUACUGAGCGUGGAGGUACUGAGCGUGGAUAUUAUGUCAUGAGAUACAUGUAUGAGGUUGUUGUUGGUCACAGUGAGUGCGAGGGUAAUUUAGAGGAGGUAUAUUCUGCAAGGAGAAUGGCUUGUGAUGAAAAGGAAUUGAAUGAAACUCGAGAACAGUGGGCAAAUUUCUUUAGAAGAAAAUAUUUGUUGAAUGAACCAAUUUAGUUAUAUUUUCAUCAAAUGCAUAACUAAUUUGAUUGCAUAUGUAGUUAUGGUGAGAUUGUUUGUUGAAUAGUGAAUAGAUUUAUAUUACUACGUGUGACAUUUAACUUGUUAUGUUGAUGACUUUAUUUAUUGGUAAAUGGUAAUGAUGUUAGAGUA